rnacentral:rRNA from 1 species
CUUGUCUCAAAGAUUAAGCCAUGCAUGUCUAAGUAUAAGCAAUUAUACAGCGAAACUGCGAAUGGCUCAUUAUAUAAGUUAUCGUUUAUUUGAUAGCACCUUACUACUUGGAUAACCGUGGUAAUUCUAGAGCUAAUACAUGCUAAAAAUCCCGACUUCGGAAGGGAUGUAUUUAUUAGAUUAAAAACCAAUGCCUUCGGGCUUUCUGGUGAUUCAUGAUAACUUCUCGAAUCGCAUGGCCUUGCGCCGGCGAUGGUUCAUUCAAAUUUCUUCCCUAUCAACUUUCGAUGCGAAGGUCUUGUCUUCGCAUGGUUACAACGGGUAACGGAGGGUUAGGGCUCGACCCCGGAGAGGGAGCCUGAGAAAUGGCUACCACUUUUAAGGAAGGCAGCAGGCGCGCAAAUUACCCAAUCCCGACACGGGGAGGUAGUGACAAUAAAUACUGAUACAGGGCUCUUAUGGGUCUUGUAAUCGGAAUGAGUACAAUUUAAAUCCCUUAACGAGGAACAAUUGGAGGGCAAGUCUGGU